CCUACGGGAGGCAGCAGUGGGGAAUAUUGCACAAUGGGCGCAAGCCUGAUGCAGCCAUGCCGCGUGUAUGAUGAAGGCCUUCGGGUUGUAAAGUACUUUCAGCGGGGAGGAAGGGAGUAAAGUUAAUACCUUUGCUCAUUGACGUUACCCGCAGAAGAAGCACCGGCUAACUCCGUGCCAGCAGCCGCGGUAAU
rnacentral:rRNA from 1 species